rnacentral:rRNA from 1 species
UAAGGUAGCAUAAUCAUUAGUUUAUUAAUUGUAAACUGGAAUAAACGAUUUGACGAGAGAGUCCCUGUCUCUUAACAAUCUUGGAACUUUAUUUAAAGGUUAAAAAGCUUUUGAAAUAUAAAAAGACAACAAGACCCUAGAACCUUCUAUACCCCUCUUGUUAACUCUACUUGACCUGCUAGAAAUAUUUAGAUUGCUGGGGCGGCAUAAAUUAUUCCAACUUAACAACCCUCCGUACUGGACGAACCACAACCAGCCUUAGCUGCAAAUAAUCAGGUACUCUAGGGAUAACAGCACAACCUACCUUUAGAGUCCUUAUCGACAGGUAAUUUGUGACCUCGAUGUUGAAUUGAGCCGUCUCACUUAAGCAGCCUAAGC